rnacentral:sRNA from 1 species
AUGAGUGAUGGUGCCUCAAAGCAGUAACUUUUUGCUUAGAGCUUGAGAGUCAAAGUUAAGGACCCACACGUAUACUUCGGCUCUAGCGAGUCUAAGAAGAACUUCUUCUCAAAAGAUCACAGCAAAAGAAGAAAAUGUCACCAAAUAAUUACAAAGAACGGCUUUUUGUUUUGACCAAAACAAACCUUUCCUACUAUGAAUAUGACAAAAUGAAAAGGGGCAGCAGAAAAGGAUCCAUUGAAAUUAAGAAAAUCAGAUGUGUGGAGAAAGUAAAUCUCGAGGAGCAGACGCCUGUAGAGAGACAGUACCCAUUUCAGAUUGUCUAUAAAGAUGGGCUUCUCUAUGUCUAUGCAUCAAAUGAAGAGAGCCGAAGUCAGUGGUUGAAAGCAUUACAAAAAGAGAUAAGGGGUAACCCCCACCUGCUGGUCAAGUACCAUAGUGGGUUCUUCGUGGACGGGAAGUUCCUGUGUUGCCAGCAGAGUUGUAAAGCAGCCCCAGGAUGUACCCUCUGGGAAGCAUAUGCUAAUCUGCAUACUGCAGUCAAUGAAGAGAAA